rnacentral:rRNA from 1 species
CGAACGGGAUUGAGAAGCUUGCUUUUCAUGAGAGUGGCGCACGGGUGCGUAACACGUAUGUAACCUACCUUAAUCUGGGGGAUAGCCUCUCGAAAGAGAGAUUAACACCGCAUAACAUUACCGGACAGCAUUUUCUGGUAAUCAAAUAUUUAUAGGAUUAAGAUGGGCAUGCGGAACAUUAGCUAGUUGGUAAGGUAAUGGCUUACCAAGGCUACGAUGUUUAGGGGAUCUGAGAGGAUGACCCCCCACACUGGUACUGAGACACGGACCAGACUCCUACGGGAGGCAGCAGUAAGGAAUAUUGGUCAAUGGGCGCAAGCCUGAACCAGCCAUGCCGCGUGCAGGAAGACGGCCCUACGGGUUGUAAACUGCUUUUGUACCGGAAUAAACCUUUUCACGUGUGAGAAGCUGAAUGUACGGUAAGAAUAAGGAUCGGCUAACUCCGUGCCAGCAGCCGCG